rnacentral:rRNA from 1 species
UACAGAGGGUGCGAGCGUUGUCCGGAAUCACUGGGCGUAAAGGGCGCGUAGGUGGCGACCCAAGUCGAUGGUGAAAGCUCGCCGCUCAACGGCGAGUCGGCCACCGAUACUGGGUUGCUGGAGCACUGUAGAGGCUCAUGGAAUCCGGGUGUAGCGGUGGAAUGCGUAGAGAGUCCGGAAGAACACCGGUGGCGAAGGCGGCCAUCUGGACCAGCACUGACGGCUGAGGCACGGAAAGCGUGGGGAGCAAACAGGG